AGAGUUUGAUCAUGGCUCAGAACGUACGCUGGCGGCACGCCUAACACAUGCAAGUCGAACGAAGUAGCAAUACUUAGUGGCGGACGGGUGAGUAACAUGUGGGUAUCUACCCUUUGGCCUGGAAUAACACGAGGAAACUUGUGCUAAUACCGGAUAAGUCUUUACGGAGAAAGCUUUAUGCACCAUUGGAUGAGCCCGCACUUGAUUAGUUUGUUGGUAGGGUAAUGGCCUACCAAGACUAUGAUCAAUAGCUGAUUUGAGAGGAUGAUCAGCCACAUUGGGACUGAGACACGGCCCAAACUCCUACGGGAGGCAGCAGUGGGGAAUCUUGCACAAUGGAGGAAACUCUGAUGCAGCGAUGCCGCGUGAGUGAAGAAGGCCUUUGGGUUGUAAAGCUCUUUCGUCGGGGAAGAAAAUGACUGUACCCGAAUAAGAAGGUCCGGCUAACUUCGUGCCAGCAGCCGCGGUAAUACGAAGGGACCUAGCGUAGUUCGGAAUUACUGGGCUUAAAGAGUUCGUAGGUGGUUGAAAAAGUUGGUGGUGAAAUCCCAGAGCUUAACUCUGGAACUGCCAUCAAAACUUUUCAGCUAGAGUAUGAUAGAGGAAAGCAGAAUUUCUAGUGUAGAGGUGAAAUUCGUAGAUAUUAGAAA
rnacentral:rRNA from 1 species